GUGUUCACUGCAUUCAAACUGGUUGGAAGCACUGACUACUACAAGACAAGUUCCCAGGAAAACACAACAAACAUUGGAUGAAUUCUGAAUUAUUAACUGUGGUAAUUUUGCCUCCUGGUUGACAAGAGGGAGGGUUUCUGGCACGGGGCUGCUUGCUGAAAAUCAUCAUGACACUCCUGGGGUCUGAGCAUUCUUUGUUGAUUCGGAGCAAGUUCAGAUCAGACUAAUCCAAGACAGAAUCCAUAUAUUUACUGCAAAGCCUUGCAUUGCAAAACCAAACUAUAUUCCAAGAGCCAAGAAAAGGAUUUGAUAAGACUGAAGAUUAUUUAAAACACAAGGUCAGAAAUAGACCUGAAGGGACCAACUUGAUCAACAUGCAUAUUUUACAAGGAUCUUACAGGGUUUGGACAACAAUCUUCUUGGAUGUAGAUCAAGCAGUUGAGAAAAUGAAGCAUCUUCUCUCUUAUGUCUUCCUUGGACCCUAAUUCACCAUGUGUUCUCCAAUCAAAAACACUGACAUUUUACUAUGCCCCCUCAAUUUUACCCAGGCUUAUAACAUGAGUCUGUGGGUACAAUAAGUCAUAAAAAAAAUCUGUUAAGGUAGCCUUAAAUAGGAUGUCUAAUCCUUUAACAGUGAAAACUCUAAGGUUUUUUUAACUUGGGUUUUUUAAUCAACUACAGAUCCUUUGCAC
rnacentral:lncRNA from 1 species